rnacentral:rRNA from 1 species
GCAUAUCAAUAAGCGGAGGAAAAGAAACCAACAGGGAUUGCCCUAGUAACGGCGAGUGAAGCGGCAACAGCUCAAAUUUGAAAUCUGGCUCUCGGGCCCGAGUUGUAAUUUGUAGAGGAUGUUUCUGGCGACGUGUCUUCCGAGUUCCCUGGAACGGGACGCCAUAGAGGGUGAGAGCCCCGUCCGGUCGUACGCCUAGCCUCUGUGAAACUCCUUCGACGAGUCGAGUAGUUUGGGAAUGCUGCUCAAAAUGGGAGGUAUACGUCUUCUAAAGCUAAAUACCGGCCAGAGACCGAUAGCGCACAAGUAGAGUGAUCGAAAGAUGAAAAGCACUUUGAAAAGAGGGUUAAAUAGUACGUGAAAUUGCUGAAAGGGAAGCGCUCAUGACCAGACUUGGGCUCGGUGAAUCAUCCGGCGUUCUCGCCGGUGCACUUUGCCGGCCCAGGCCAGCAUCAGCUCGCCUCGGGGGAUAAAGGCUUCGGGAAUGUAGCUCCCUCGUGGAGUGUUAUAGACCGUUGCGUAAUACCCUGGGGCGGGCUGAGGUACGCGUUCUGCAAGGAUGCUGGCGUAAUGGUCAUCAGUGACCCGUCUUGAAACACGGACCAAGGAGUCGUCUUCGUAUGCGAGUGUUCGGGUGUCAAACCCCUACGCGUAAUGAAAGUGAACGUAGGAGAGAGCUUCGGCGCAUCUCCGACCGAUCCUGAUGUUCUCGGAUGGAUUUGAGUAAGAGCAUACGGGGCCGGACCCGAAAGAAGGUGAACUAUGCCUGUAUAGGGUGAAGCCAGAGGAAACUCUGGUGGAGGCUCGCAGCGGUUCUGACGUGCAAAUCGAUCGUCAAAUAUGGGCAUGGGGGCGAAAGACUAAUCGAACCUUCUAGUAGCUGGUUUCCGC